rnacentral:rRNA from 1 species
GGGCCCGCACAAGCGGUGGAGCAUGUGGUUUAAUUCGAUGCAACGCGAAGAACCUUACCUACACUUGACAUGCUGAGAAGUUACUAGAGAUAGUUUCGUGCCUUCGGGAACUCAGACACAGGUGCUGCAUGGCUGCCGUCAGCUCGUGUCGUGAGAUGUUGGGUUAAGUCCCGCAACGAGCGCAACCCACGUCUUUAGUUGCCAGCAUUUAGUUGGGCACUCUAGAGAGACUGCCGGUGAUAAACCGGAGGAAGGUGUGGAUGACGUCAAGUCAUCAUGCCCCUUACAUCCUGGGCUACACACGUACUACAAUGGCAUUUACAGAGGGAAGCGAGACAGUGAUGUGGAGCGGACCCCUUAAAGAAUGUCGUAGUCCGGAUUGGAGUCUGCAACUCGACUCCAUGAAGUCGGAAUCGCUAGUAAUCG